UGGCAAUACAGGCUGGUCCGCAGACUUCUCCAUUCAUUGCAGUCACACUGUGGUGGAUGCUGAGGUGCGGGUGGGUCGCAUACUCACACGGGGCCAUAAGACGCUAUGCUGAGCGAUGAUAGGCCGCGCACCUGAUACGCAGUAAUCAAAACAAAGGAAGGGGUCGGUGGGGCACACUGUUCAAGAAAAUUAUUUAACGAAAUUUGGACUAGAAAUGACUUUAGUUCACACACUGUCACGUCAUAUUCAAACGACAGUUACUCGUGUCACAUUAGUUUCUGUACUAUAUGUGACAGCACCUCACGUGACAAGGGUAGUAUGAAUAGCGUGCACAUGGCCUGCGGGUGCAGACGCUACUGGUAAAGAAACGUUCCCACGAAUGUGCCAUGACAUAUUCGCAGCAAUGUGACACAAUGCCCGAACGCUCGAAUGUGACGUCGCAGUGUUUGGAUGACUGUGAUUACGCGCGGUUACACAGCACGAGUCGCACGUGCCGCGGUCGCGCCCGUACUCUCGAGAGCCACUCCGGCGUCACGUUUAUCAGUGGAAAUAAUUAAAAAGUCUGCCCUUGAUAAGCGCGGUGCCUCCUGUCACUUGGACUCUAGCGUUUAGCUGUCCUUCAAAGUCAUCAGACGAGAACGAGGAAAGAUAAGAAGCCGACAUUUCAUGACGAUCGGAGUAUAAAGGGCCACCUUUCGGCAGUGAUCAGCACACGGCAAACCCUCUCCGACAUCAUGAAGGUCCUCAUCGUUCUCGCCGCCUGCGUGGUGGCCGCCAUGGCCGCCAUCCCCUCCGACAUGGAGAUCCAGG